rnacentral:rRNA from 1 species
GAUGAACGCUGGCGGCGUGCUUAACACAUGCAAGUCGAACGAUCGCAAGAUAGUGGCGCACGGGUGAGGAACACGUAGCUAGCCUGCCUUUGGGUCUGGGAUAACGUCGCGAAAGUGACGCUAAGACCGGAUAAGCUCCCGGGUUGUAGAGACCAGAGAGAAAAGGGGCAAGACGCCUGAAGAGGGGGCUGCGGCGCAUCAGCUAGUUGGUGGGGUAAAGGCCUACCAAGGCAACGACGCGUAAGGGGUCUGAGAGGAUGAUCCCUCACACUGGGACUGAGACACGGCCCAGACUCCUACGGGAGGCAGCAGUAGGGAAUUUUGCACAAUGGACGAAAGUCUGAUGCAGCAACGCCGCGUGAGUGAAGAAGGCCCUUGGGUUGUAAAGCUCUUUCGGCUGGGAAGAAGGGUAGAUUGGCUAAUAUCCAAUUUACUGGACGGUACCAGAAUAAGAAGCACCGGCUAACUCCGUGCCAGCAGCCGCGGUAAAGAGCU